rnacentral:misc_RNA from 1 species
GAUGAAGAACGUAGCGAAAUGCGAUAAGUAAUGUGAAUUGCAGAAUUCAGUGAAUCAUCGAAUCUUUGAACGCACAUUGCGCCCGCUAGUAUUCUGGCGGGCAUGCCUGUCCGAGCGUCAUUUCAACCCUCAAGCCCCCGGGCUUGGUGUUGGGGAUCGGCGAGCCUCCGCGCCCGCCGUCCCCUAAAUCUAGUGGCGGUCUCGCUGUAGCUUCCUCUGCGUAGUAGCACACCUCGCACUGGGAAACAGAGCGGCCACGCCGUUAAACCCCCAACUUCUGAACGUUUGACCUCGGAUCAGGUAGGAAUACCCGCUGAACUUAAGCAUAUCAAUAAGCGGAGGA